CACGUAGGGGGCAAGCGUUGUUCGGAAUUACUGGGCGUAAAGGGCAUGUAGGCGGUCCUGUAAGCCUGGCGUGAAAGGCUGCGGCUCAACCGCAGCACUGCGCUGGGAACUGCAAGACUUGAGUCACGGAGGGGGAGCUAGAAUUCCGGGUGUAGGGGUGAAAUCUGUAGAUAUCCGGAAGAAUACCAGUGGCGAAGGCGAGCUCCUGGCCGAUGACUGACGCUGAGGUGCGAAAGCGUGGGGAGCAAACAGG
rnacentral:rRNA from 1 species